rnacentral:miRNA from 2 species
GUAUGUGCCCUUGGACUACAUU